GCGCCUGUGGUAAGGUUGUGUUACGUUAGUACUCAUUAGCAUACAUAAUUAGUAGAAUAACAUAAGUGUGCAAUCGAUAAUUGUAUACUUCCCUAAACGUCAGCUGUGCGCGCGAACAAGAUGUGCCGCAGGGGCGCAACGAAAAGGUGGCGAAAAUGAAAUGCCACUAAAAUCAGCGAAAACCAUCUGUCAUCGGUCGUCAGCGAAACUCUACUUCCGACAACGGCAUUCCACACCAGACCUUCCGCAGUCGCCAGAAAAAUAGUGAGAGAUUGUAAAAGUGGCGGUUCACUGUCAAUCCGAUUGUAAAGUGUGCGCGAGUACUACGAGAAUAAUUCCUGCGGCCGACGGAAGGGUGAGCCGACAUAAAGUGGACAAACAUCACAUGCAAUUGUUGACACUGCUCGUUCUUUCUCCCAGACGAUCGCCGUGAUCACCAUCGCACGUGGGUGGCAGAACAAGAUUCCUCGGUAGAAGGCCGAGAGGCAAAUUCGGGCUAUCGAACGAAAGUACGGGAAAGACCACAAAGGGUGUGUCGGAAAACUCUGGUCAAAAUCCAGCGUGAAACAUAAGACGUGCGACUGCAACAAGUCGGCACGACAAGUCGCUUGAGUGCCAAUCCGGGGACGUACAGAAAUCAAGUUGAAUAAGCCCUAGGACCCGCAACACACUUAUCGGCAUCCACACUUUCACCACUCGCAUUCGCAAAGCAAAGGCCUCCACAAGGAGGCCUUUUGUUUACAUUACAGCUCGUCAAUUACAGUGAUUGGUCGCACCCACUCGAGCAGGAACCGCAGUGCGAGGUUCGCGAAGCCAUUCCGAAGGCCAUUCCUUCCAAGGAGAAGACGAAGCGCGAAGCAUAACGAGCAGAACGCGGACAGGAAUCAUUGUACGAUCGGUGACCAAAUCAUACCUCUCCGGAGGCACGAUAAGUUGGACACAGUAGCCGAUGGGUGGGCGUCGAAUGUGGUGGCCCGAAGUAGCAGCUGGCUCGUCUGUCGAAACACCGAACAGUUCGGAGCAAACACGUAAAACUCAAGUGUACGGAGCUUCACUAUCCCCACCUAACUCAGAGCAGUUGGUCGAGAUCAGACAGGAGGCACGAUGCAGUCGCUGACGAUCCGGCGUACGUGAGUGCUACUUCACAGAUAACAGAUAUUGAAGCUAGAACAAAUUUUAUUGAAAAUCCUGUGUAAACUUUUGAAUUGAUAUACGUUGGCCCACUACUGCCAUCUACUCAACUGAUUGCGGCAGUACAUAAGGAUGCAACUGAUUAACAACCGUCGAACGCAGCCAAUGCAUUUGACAGCCGCAUUUGGGCUGCGUUUUCAAUAACAAUGAUCGUUGCGCCAUCUCCAAACGAUUGCCAAACGCGGUCCCAAUUUAAAAUACAUUUGAAUUAACGGUUGCGAAUGUUUACACACGUAUCGGAUGCCAGCCUCAAUAUCUGUUAUCUGUGGCUACUUUAAGAAGUGAAACAGAAAGCAAAAGAAGACAGGGCAUGCAAGCUUACCAGGAGAGUAGGGGUACCAAUUAAGCGAAAUGAUGUAAGGAAAAAUACAAAAUGAUUGCACAUUAUGUCAUGCUUUGUGGCGUUUAAUGUUGACUAGCCGGACCGACUAAUCCCCUUUUAUCACGGAGAGGUCGUUUCACAACACAGACGCUCAAUAAAAUUUGCACCUCCGGAGAGGAGCAAACCCCCCUUUCCCUGUCAGCGUACGACCAUAGUUCUCAUCGGGGUUGGUUAUCCGAUCUUCCCUAAGGUUGCUCGUAUCACGGCCAUUACCACGAGAAGGUAGGAAUAGAAGUUGAUGGGUAAGAGGCUCCACCCUAAUAUAAUCGAUAUAGAACCACACAUAAAUUAAAUAAUUGCUAAUUCGAGACCACACAUUAAGUUUAUUUUGAUAUAUAUUUUAUAAGUAGUUCGCGUGGAGAAUGGUUAUGUGUGCGCUGAUAUACAUCAUAAGUUAAAUCUAUGGAUUUUUGCCAAUAAAUAUGUUUGGAUUUUUAGUAGUGAACCUGUGAUGUAUGCUAUUCAGUAAUAUAAUCACCAUUUGUUUAGAGAACUGCAGCAUAUUGCAUGGAGUAUGCAUGCCAGAUAACUGAUUCAUAAGCUGUAGACGCUGUAGACUUAGUAGCGAUAUUUAUUAGUCGUUACUUGAAGAAUGGAUUCAUAAAUACCCCGAUAAAUACAAAAACUUCAAUGUUAUUACAGAUUUUUCAUGUUUCCAUUUUCAUGCUACCCAGCCCUUGAAUUGUAGGCAAAUAGAAUCCUUUUGUUUAUUAACCCUUCCCAGA